CGCAUCUGGUAGGGUAUUUUCGUUUGAGCACCAUAAGGUCUUAUUAGUUCUGUUUCUAAGGAUGCGCUAUAUUGGUGUCAUUGUUCUCUUGUUGUGCCUUGAGAUGAGUCUCUUUAUGUUCUCUUUGUGUGCCUUGAGAUUGAGUUAUCUGUGUGGUGUUAUUCCCCAGUAUUGGGUAAGUUAGUUUAUUUUACUAUCUUCUACAUGUCGUAGCUUUACAAUCAUUUCUUUAAUAAUCGUGAGAAUGGCGGUAUCAAAGGAGUGUGUAUUUUUCUUAUUUAGGGACGCAGGCUUGGGACUCUGCUGGAGUCAAGUCUGAGUUGUAGGCUUGGUAGUUGACUAUUGCCCGUGGCGUUGGGUUGGCGUUGUGAGGCCGGAUUGACUAUGGCACUGAGAUUAAGGUGUGCUAUAGCCCGUUGAAUGUAAUCUGUAAUUGCCAUUGAUAUUUAUUCAUAAUGUAUGCCUCAUAAUAUCAUAUAUAUCAUUAACUCAUUAAACCUUUGUUGUUAUAUGCAAUAUUGUUAUUCAAUAGUAUACGUUAAUAGUUGGUUUAUUCGUUCCUAGAUAUGUAUUGCAUAAAUUGAUUACUAGACUGUUAGGGGUGCCCAGGCAGACGAGCCAAGGCUAAAUUAUAACCCCGGCAUAAAGCUAAUAAACACUGCUCAGGUGGGGAGCCCGGCGGAGUACAUCAUACCCUAGAUGAGCGCGAGGACAAAACCCACCUGACAGAAAUGGGGGCUCUGGGAAACAAUAUGUAAAUGUCAACUUUGUGACCUCUGUGUCCUUGAUUUGACCGCUAGGGCCAGUAUAAAAUGCAGAUACAUAAUGGAUAUGUUUUGUAUAUUUUAAAGUGAUCAGUAAAUACAUUUAUGAUGUUAAAGCGGUCUGCUGUUGUGCAGCACUAAAUAGAUUAGACGAGCAUUCGGUGUAUUUUGCGUAAUGGGAUUGGUUCACAAUGUGUAUCGAGAAACUUAGAGUGUGUAGUUACUCUUUGAAACUAUUGUAACCUGUUCUUUUAUUUAUUGUCACCAACGCCUGAAUCCUCUGACUCUGAGCGGCAACGUGUGAGUGGAUCGAGUGCCUGUCGACGGGAUCGACCUGAAACUGUGUGUCUUGCUGGCUGGUGUACCGGAACCGUCCUGAAGUUAGAACCGUUUGUCUGCUCCAGUGGCCUUGGUUGUCUGUGGCUUCUAUCUCCUGCGGAGCCUGGAGUGAGGCGAUUUUCUUCCGACGCGGGAUACUGAGCAGAUAAGUCCUUGGCCCUGUUUUUGUCGAUGCGCCCUUGAUUUCAGUUAGCCCGUUGUAAUUAAGAAAUAAUAUAUAUAUUUUUUUCCUUUUUAUCUCUAUGAUCUAACUUUGGUUUUUGUUAGCGAUAGUUAGACUGUAAGUAUUAUUUAAUAGUCUGUGUGAUGGAGACGAGGUUGACUCUAACCGCCCAGUUCAUCAGUGACGGCCGUGCUCUCGGGUAUGAUGGUGAGAGGUUGGAGAGGUAUGUGGCAGAGCAGAAGGUUGAAUACGAGAGAGCCAAGAAGGAGGAGUUUGAACGAGAGACGGCUAGGCUUGAGCGAGAGGAGAGAUUGAAGAAAGAGGCGAAGGCAGAAGAGGAGAGAUUAAGGAAAGAGGCGCAGGCUGAGGAGAAAGCCAGACUUGAGCGUGAAGAGAGGUUGAGAAGAGAGGCGAAGGCGGAGGAAGAGAGGUUGAGAAAAGAGGCGAAGGCGGAGGAAGAGAGGUUGAGAAGAGAGGCGAAGGCAGAUGAGGCCGCCAGACAUGAACGAGAGGAGAGGGCCAGGCGUGAGGAACACGAGAGGUGGAAGGAGAGAGAUGCUAGAGAGGAGCUCAAGAGAAAAGAUGAACUGGAGUUGGCACGGCUUAAAGAGAAGUCGGCGCCAGAGGCAGGUGCAGUGGUAGGUCAGGCAGUUGAGGUGCGACAAAAGAGUGUCUUGGACAGGCUAGACAAGAACUUCCAAGGCAUGAAGGAAGAGGACGAUCUUCUGGCGUACCUGACGCACUUCGAGGCCGUAGCAGCAAGGUGUAAGAUAAGAUUGAGAGUAAAGAGUGGGCCCUACUGUUGUCCUACAAACUGACGACAUCUCUCAAAAACUUUAUGUUGAGGGACAGUCUGUUCCUUAGCGACAAGUAUGAGGAUGUCAAAACGGCACUUCUCCGCCACGCAGACAUUAAUGCGGAGACAUGCCGCAAAAGGUUCCACCGGGUCAAACCACGGCAGAAUGACUUCCGUGGGUAUGUGACUGAGCGGAGGGCCGCGCUGGACAACUGGUGCAAAAUGGCCGAGGUAGGAAAGACGGUAGAUGAGAUCAAAGAUCUCUUGAUUAAAGACGGGAUACUUGAAAGUGUAUCAAGUGAAGUGUACAGGCAGCUUGUCUUAAACAAACAGAGUACGGUAGAGAACAUGCUGGAGGUAAUCGAAGGUUUUAAGGUAGCUGAUUCGAAUGUUUCAAUUAGUAAAGAAGAAACUGUGUAUGUGGCAGCAGCAUGUUGUGAGCCUGUGAUUAAGCAGAGUCCAGUGGUUAAAAGAAAGGUAAUUGUUUGUUUCAGGUGUGGCGAGCAAGGUCAUAAAUCAGCUGAGUGCUCUAAUGAAUUUGUUGCCCAAAAUAAUGAGACUGGUGUUGAGAAUGUAAAUCCCAAUGAUAUUGUAAAGGACCAAGACCAGCGAUCUAGACAUAGAUGACUAGAGGGUCGUCGCGAUUCGGAAGGUCGCCGUAGGUAUAAGUUAAUGCCGGAUCGUUAUACAGUUACUAUUAGGAAUUUGCCAUUCAAUGUUAACUGGCAAAAGCUUAAGGAUAGGUUUAGGGAGUUUGGUUUGUUUGGGUUUGUGGAGGUUUUAGAGGCAAACGGGAAGUCCAUGGGUGUUGGACAUGUAAGGUUUAAGAACUUAGCAGACGUUGCUAAGGCCGUUAGAUAUUUGGACAGGUCGAAAUUUGGUAGUAGAAGUAUUGUGGUAGUCCCUCAUCGCGUGAGCUCGAGAGGUUGACGUGAUGAUUAAGUUAGUAAUUUGGUCGCAUCGGUAAAUUUUGCGGGCGUGGUUUGAUAGGCUAGCACACACAUGAAAGUAUUGCGUUACUAGUUGGUUGAGUAAUUGGUAGUAGAGUAAAAUGUACAUGAUGAAGCUCAGGUAAUAGAGCAUAUACUAGCAUAAAAGUACAAUCUUAUCCUGUUUGAAUUUAGCAAUUGGAUCUGGGUUAUGAAUCUAGUUGCAUUUUCUGUCGUAUAGGAUGAAGAUCAUUAAUGACAUGCUUAAUUGUACCGCGGGUGGUAUAAUAGUAGCAUUAUCUUGUUCAACUGUUUUUCUUAAAGAUAUCUAAGUUAAAGGAAGGUUUAAGGCUUAAAGUGGUCUGGAGGGUUGUAAAAAUUAAUACCUGUAAUUAUUAAUCAUACCUAUUAAUCGCGUUGGCGGGUUUGUACAGUAGGUACGCCUGGGUACGCGGAGUUGUUUCCUUUUACCAAUUUACUAUGUCGGAGUUGGUCUGUUAAGGUGCACUGGAAACAUGAGUGCGCGGAGGCUUUGAGCAGGGUGCAGGCAUAUCUGUGUAGGUACCCCAUUCUUCGUUUGCCUGAUCCUUCAUUGCCAUUUUUUCUUCAGACCGAUGCUUCGGACAAAGGAAUCUCCGGUAUACUGAGUCAGUGCGUGAAAGGUGUUCUGCAUCCCGUCAAGUAUGUGAGUCGCAAGUUGUUGCCUCGGGAGCAGAGAUAUUCCAUCAUCGAGAGAGAAGGCUUGGCUAUUGUAUCUGCCAUUAGAAAACUGGACAGAUACCUUAGGGGAACGACGUUUCACCUUCAGACAGACCACAAGGCCUUGGCUUACCUCCGGAGCACGAACUUUACGAACCACCGUGUUACGAGGUGGGCGCUGAUGCUCCAGGACUACAAUUUCGACGUGUGUCACAUAAAAGGAGAGGACAAUAUACUUGCAGACUUGUGCUCAAGACUGGUGUGAUUCGCACAAAAAGACUAUUUUAUUAUAGCUAUUGCUUGAUAUGUAUGAAUAUGUAUGUAAUAUGUACUGCUUGUUUUUAUUAUGCAUUGUAAUGUUAUAAUAGUUUUAUGAUGGAUGUUGUUCUUUGCGACAUCAUCUAUGUGAAUAAUUAUGUAAUUUUGACUUUAUGAAGGUUGUAUUCUUCGGCGUCAAUGUUGGCAAUGUUUCCUAAUUCUUUUGCUGUCUCUAUACUUCAGUUUUCAAUUUUUUUUGAAGACUGGACUUGUUUUCGCAAGAUCCAGUUAGAGGGAGAGGGGGGAUGUCGUGCGCAUCUGGUAGGGUAUUUUCGUUUGAGCACCAUAAGGUCUUAUUAGUUCUGUUUCUAAGGAUGCGCUAUAUUGGUGUCAUUGUUCUCUUGUUGUGCCUUGAGAUGAGUCUCUUUAUGUUCUCUUUGUGUGCCUUGAGAUUGAGUUAUCUGUGUGGUGUUAUUCCCCAGUAUUGGGUAAGUUAGUUUAUUUUACUAUCUUCUACAUGUCGUAGCUUUACAAUCAUUUCUUUAAUAAUCGUGAGAAUGGCGGUAUCAAAGGAGUGUGUAUUUUUCUUAUUUAGGGACGCAGGCUUGGGACUCUGCUGGAGUCAAGUCUGAGUUGUAGGCUUGGUAGUUGACUAUUGCCCGUGGCGUUGGGUUGGCGUUGUGAGGCCGGAUUGACUAUGGCACUGAGAUUAAGGUGUGCUAUAGCCCGUUGAAUGUAAUCUGUAAUUGCCAUUGAUAUUUAUUCAUAAUGUAUGCCUCAUAAUAUCAUAUAUAUCAUUAACUCAUUAAACCUUUGUUGUUAUAUGCAAUAUUGUUAUUCAAUAGUAUACGUUAAUAGUUGGUUUAUUCGUUCCUAGAUAUGUAUUGCAUAAAUUGAUUACUAGACUGUUAGGGGUGCCCAGGCAGACGAGCCAAGGCUAAAUUAUAACCCCGGCAUAAAGCUAAUAAACACUGCUCAGGUGGGGAGCCCGGCGGAGUACAUCAUACCCUAGAUGAGCGCGAGGACAAAGCCCACCUGACAGAAAUGGGGGCUCUGGGAAACAAUAUGUAAAUGUCAACUUUGUGACCUCUGUGUCCUUGAUUUGACCGCUAGGGCCAGUAUAAAAUGCAGAUACAUAAUGGAUAUGUUUUGUAUAUUUUAAAGUGAUCAGUAAAUACAUUUAUGAUGUUAAAGCGGUCUGCUGUUGUGCAGCACUAAAUAGAUUAGAAGAGCAUUCGGUGUAUUUUGCGUAAUGGGAUUGGUUCACAAUAUGGAUCGAGAAACUUAGAGUGUGUAGUUACUCUUUGAAACUAUUGUAACCUGUUCUUUUAUUUAUUGUCACCAACGCCUGAAUCCUCUGACUCUGAGCGGCAACGUGUGAGUGGAUCGAGUGCCUGUCGACGGGAUCGACCUGAAACUGUGUGUCUUGCUGGCUGGUGUACCGGAACCGUCCUGAAGUUAGAACCGUUUGUCUGCUCCAGUGGCCUUGGUUGUCUGUGGCUUCUAUCUCCUGCGGAGCCUGGAGUGAGGCGAUUUUCUUCCGACGCGGGAUACUGAGCAGAUAAGUCCUUGGCCCUGUUUUUGUCGAUGCGCCCUUGAUUUCAGUUAGCCCGUUGUAAUUAAGAAAUAAUAUAUAUAUUUUUUUCCUUUUUAUCUCUAUGAUCUAACUUUGGUUUUUGUUAGCGAUAGUUAGACUGUAAGUAUUAUUUAAUAGUCUGUGUGAUGGAGACGAGGUUGACUCUAACCGCCCAGUUCAUCAGUGACGGCCGUGCUCUCGGGUAUGAUGGUGAGAGGUUGGAGAGGUAUGUGGCAGAGCAGAAGGUUGAAUACGAGAGAGCCAAGAAGGAGGAGUUUGAACGAGAGACGGCUAGGCUUGAGCGAGAGGAGAGAUUGAAGAAAGAGGCGAAGGCAGAAGAGGAGAGAUUAAGGAAAGAGGCGCAGGCUGAGGAGAAAGCCAGACUUGAGCGUGAAGAGAGGUUGAGAAGAGAGGCGAAGGCGGAGGAAGAGAGGUUGAGAAAAGAGGCGAAGGCGGAGGAAGAGAGGUUGAGAAGAGAGGCGAAGGCAGAUGAGGCCGCCAGACAUGAACGAGAGGAGAGGGCCAGGCGUGAGGAACACGAGAGGUGGAAGGAGAGAGAUGCUAGAGAGGAGCUCAAGAGAAAAGAUGAACUGGAGUUGGCACGGCUUAAAGAGAAGUCGGCGCCAGAGGCAGGUGCAGUGGUAGGUCAGGCAGUUGAGGUGCGACAAAAGAGUGUCUUGGACAGGCUAGACAAGAACUUCCAAGGCAUGAAGGAAGAGGACGAUCUUCUGGCGUACCUGACGCACUUCGAGGCCGUAGCAGCAAGGUGUAAGAUUGAGAGUAAAGAGUGGGCCCUACUGUUGUCCUACAAACUGACGACAUCUCUCAAAAACUUUAUGUUGAGGGACAGUCUGUUCCUUAGCGACAAGUAUGAGGAUGUCAAAACGGCACUUCUCCGCCACGCAGACAUUAAUGCGGAGACAUGCCGCAAAAGGUUCCACCGGGUCAAACCACGGCAGAAUGACUUCCGUGGGUAUGUGACUGAGCGGAGGGCCGCGCUGGACAACUGGUGCAAAAUGGCCGAGGUAGGAAAGACGGUAGAUGAGAUCAAAGAUCUCUUGAUUAAAGACGGGAUACUUGAAAGUGUAUCAAGUGAAGUGUACAGGCAGCUUGUCUUAAACAAACAGAGUACGGUAGAGAACAUGCUGGAGGUAAUCGAAGGUUUUAAGGUAGCUGAUUCGAAUGUUUCAAUUAGUAAAGAAGAAACUGUGUAUGUGGCAGCAGCAUGUUGUGAGCCUGUGAUUAAGCAGAGUCCAGUGGUUAAAAGAAAGGUAAUUGUUUGUUUCAGGUGUGGCGAGCAAGGUCAUAAAUCAGCUGAGUGCUCUAAUGAAUUUGUUGCCCAAAAUAAUGAGACUGGUGUUGAGAAUGUAAAUCCCAAUGAUAUUGUAAAGGACCAAGACCAGCGAUCUAGACAUAGAUGACUAGAGGGUCGUCGCGAUUCGGAAGGUCGCCGUAGGUAUAAGUUAAUGCCGGAUCGUUAUACAGUUACUAUUAGGAAUUUGCCAUUCAAUGUUAACUGGCAAAAGCUUAAGGAUAGGUUUAGGGAGUUUGGUUUGUUUGGGUUUGUGGAGGUUUUAGAGGCAAACGGGAAGUCCAUGGGUGUUGGACAUGUAAGGUUUAAGAACUUAGCAGACGUUGCUAAGGCCGUUAGAUAUUUGGACAGGUCGAAAUUUGGUAGUAGAAGUAUUGUGGUAGUCCCUCAUCGCGUGAGCUCGAGAGGUUGACGUGAUGAUUAAGUUAGUAAUUUGGUCGCAUCGGUAAAUUUUGCGGGCGUGGUUUGAUAGGCUAGCACACACAUGAAAGUAUUGCGUUACUAGUUGGUUGAGUAAUUGGUAGUAGAGUAAAAUGUACAUGAUGAAGCUCAGGUAAUAGAGCAUAUACUAGCAUAAAAGUACAAUCUUAUCCUGUUUGAAUUUAGCAAUUGGAUCUGGGUUAUGAAUCUAGUUGCAUUUUCUGUCGUAUAGGAUGAAGAUCAUUAAUGACAUGCUUAAUUGUACCGCGGGUGGUAUAAUAGUAGCAUUAUCUUGUUCAACUGUUUUUCUUAAAGAUAUCUAAGUUAAAGGAAGGUUUAAGGCUUAAAGUGGUCUGGAGGGUUGUAAAAAUUAAUACCUGUAAUUAUUAAUCAUACCUAUUAAUCGCGUUGGCGGGUUUGUACAGUAGGUACGCCUGGGUACGCGGAGUUGUUUCCUUUUACCAAUUUACUAUGUCGGAGUUGGUCUGUUAAGGUGCACUGGAAACAUGAGUGCGCGGAGGCUUUGAGCAGGGUGCAGGCAUAUCUGUGUAGGUACCCCAUUCUUCGUUUGCCUGAUCCUUCAUUGCCAUUUUUUCUUCAGACCGAUGCUUCGGACAAAGGAAUCUCCGGUAUACUGAGUCAGUGCGUGAAAGGUGUUCUGCAUCCCGUCAAGUAUGUGAGUCGCAAGUUGUUGCCUCGGGAGCAGAGAUAUUCCAUCAUCGAGAGAGAAGGCUUGGCUAUUGUAUCUGCCAUUAGAAAACUGGACAGAUACCUUAGGGGAACGACGUUUCACCUUCAGACAGACCACAAGGCCUUGGCUUACCUCCGGAGCACGAACUUUACGAACCACCGUGUUACGAGGUGGGCGCUGAUGCUCCAGGACUACAAUUUCGACGUGUGUCACAUAAAAGGAGAGGACAAUAUACUUGCAGACUUGUGCUCAAGACUGGUGUGAUUCGCACAAAAAGACUAUUUUAUUAUAGCUAUUGCUUGAUAUGUAUGAAUAUGUAUGUAAUAUGUACUGCUUGUUUUUAUUAUGCAUUGUAAUGUUAUAAUAGUUUUAUGAUGGAUGUUGUUCUUUGCGACAUCAUCUAUGUGAAUAAUUAUGUAAUUUUGACUUUAUGAAGGUUGUAUUCUUCGGCGUCAAUGUUGGCAAUGUUUCCUAAUUCUUUUGCUGUCUCUAUACUUCAGUUUUCAAUUUUUUUUGAAGACUGGACUUGUUUUCGCAAGAUCCAGUUAGAGGGAGAGGGGGGAUGUCGUGCGCAUCUGGUAGGGUAUUUUCGUUUGAGCACCAUAAGGUCUUAUUAGUUCUGUUUCUAAGGAUGCGCUAUAUUGGUGUCAUUGUUCUCUUGUUGUGCCUUGAGAUGAGUCUCUUUAUGUUCUCUUUGUGUGCCUUGAGAUUGAGUUAUCUGUGUGGUGUUAUUCCCCAGUAUUGGGUAAGUUAGUUUAUUUUACUAUCUUCUACAUGUCGUAGCUUUACAAUCAUUUCUUUAAUAAUCGUGAGAAUGGCGGUAUCAAAGGAGUGUGUAUUUUUCUUAUUUAGGGACGCAGGCUUGGGACUCUGCUGGAGUCAAGUCUGAGUUGUAGGCUUGGUAGUUGACUAUUGCCCGUGGCGUUGGGUUGGCGUUGUGAGGCCGGAUUGACUAUGGCACUGAGAUUAAGGUGUGCUAUAGCCCGUUGAAUGUAAUCUGUAAUUGCCAUUGAUAUUUAUUCAUAAUGUAUGCCUCAUAAUAUCAUAUAUAUCAUUAACUCAUUAAACCUUUGUUGUUAUAUGCAAUAUUGUUAUUCAAUAGUAUACGUUAAUAGUUGGUUUAUUCGUUCCUAGAUAUGUAUUGCAUAAAUUGAUUACUAGACUGUUAGGGGUGCCCAGGCAGACGAGCCAAGGCUAAAUUAUAACCCCGGCAUAAAGCUAAUAAACACUGCUCAGGUGGGGAGCCCGGCGGAGUACAUCAUACCCUAGAUGAGCGCGAGGACAAAGCCCACCUGACAGAAAUGGGGGCUCUGGGAAACAAUAUGUAAAUGUCAACUUUGUGACCUCUGUGUCCUUGAUUUGACCGCUAGGGCCAGUAUAAAAUGCAGAUACAUAAUGGAUAUGUUUUGUAUAUUUUAAAGUGAUCAGUAAAUACAUUUAUGAUGUUAAAGCGGUCUGCUGUUGUGCAGCACUAAAUAGAUUAGACGAGCAUUCGGUGUAUUUUGCGUAAUGGGAUUGGUUCACAAUAUGGAUCGAGAAACUUAGAGUGUGUAGUUACUCUUUGAAACUAUUGUAACCUGUUCUUUUAUUUAUUGUCACCAACGCCUGAAUCCUCUGACUCUGAGCGGCAACGUGUGAGUGGAUCGAGUGCCUGUCGACGGGAUCGACCUGAAACUGUGUGUCUUGCUGGCUGGUGUACCGGAACCGUCCUGAAGUUAGAACCGUUUGUCUGCUCCAGUGGCCUUGGUUGUCUGUGGCUUCUAUCUCCUGCGGAGCCUGGAGUGAGGCGAUUUUCUUCCGACGCGGGAUACUGAGCAGAUAAGUCCUUGGCCCUGUUUUUGUCGAUGCGCCCUUGAUUUCAGUUAGCCCGUUGUAAUUAAGAAAUAAUAUAUAUAUUUUUUUCCUUUUUAUCUCUAUGAUCUAACUUUGGUUUUUGUUAGCGAUAGUUAGACUGUAAGUAUUAUUUAAUAGUCUGUGUGAUGGAGACGAGGUUGACUCUAACCGCCCAGUUCAUCAGUGACGGCCGUGCUCUCGGGUAUGAUGGUGAGAGGUUGGAGAGGUAUGUGGCAGAGCAGAAGGUUGAAUACGAGAGAGCCAAGAAGGAGGAGUUUGAACGAGAGACGGCUAGGCUUGAGCGAGAGGAGAGAUUGAAGAAAGAGGCGAAGGCAGAAGAGGAGAGAUUAAGGAAAGAGGCGCAGGCUGAGGAGAAAGCCAGACUUGAGCGUGAAGAGAGGUUGAGAAGAGAGGCGAAGGCGGAGGAAGAGAGGUUGAGAAAAGAGGCGAAGGCGGAGGAAGAGAGGUUGAGAAGAGAGGCGAAGGCAGAUGAGGCCGCCAGACAUGAACGAGAGGAGAGGGCCAGGCGUGAGGAACACGAGAGGUGGAAGGAGAGAGAUGCUAGAGAGGAGCUCAAGAGAAAAGAUGAACUGGAGUUGGCACGGCUUAAAGAGAAGUCGGCGCCAGAGGCAGGUGCAGUGGUAGGUCAGGCAGUUGAGGUGCGACAAAAGAGUGUCUUGGACAGGCUAGACAAGAACUUCCAAGGCAUGAAGGAAGAGGACGAUCUUCUGGCGUACCUGACGCACUUCGAGGCCGUAGCAGCAAGGUGUAAGAUUGAGAGUAAAGAGUGGGCCCUACUGUUGUCCUACAAACUGACGACAUCUCUCAAAAACUUUAUGUUGAGGGACAGUCUGUUCCUUAGCGACAAGUAUGAGGAUGUCAAAACGGCACUUCUCCGCCACGCAGACAUUAAUGCGGAGACAUGCCGCAAAAGGUUCCACCGGGUCAAACCACGGCAGAAUGACUUCCGUGGGUAUGUGACUGAGCGGAGGGCCGCGCUGGACAACUGGUGCAAAAUGGCCGAGGUAGGAAAGACGGUAGAUGAGAUCAAAGAUCUCUUGAUUAAAGACGGGAUACUUGAAAGUGUAUCAAGUGAAGUGUACAGGCAGCUUGUCUUAAACAAACAGAGUACGGUAGAGAACAUGCUGGAGGUAAUCGAAGGUUUUAAGGUAGCUGAUUCGAAUGUUUCAAUUAGUAAAGAAGAAACUGUGUAUGUGGCAGCAGCAUGUUGUGAGCCUGUGAUUAAGCAGAGUCCAGUGGUUAAAAGAAAGGUAAUUGUUUGUUUCAGGUGUGGCGAGCAAGGUCAUAAAUCAGCUGAGUGCUCUAAUGAAUUUGUUGCCCAAAAUAAUGAGACUGGUGUUGAGAAUGUAAAUCCCAAUGAUAUUGUAAAGGACCAAGACCAGCGAUCUAGACAUAGAUGACUAGAGGGUCGUCGCGAUUCGGAAGGUCGCCGUAGGUAUAAGUUAAUGCCGGAUCGUUAUACAGUUACUAUUAGGAAUUUGCCAUUCAAUGUUAACUGGCAAAAGCUUAAGGAUAGGUUUAGGGAGUUUGGUUUGUUUGGGUUUGUGGAGGUUUUAGAGGCAAACGGGAAGUCCAUGGGUGUUGGACAUGUAAGGUUUAAGAACUUAGCAGACGUUGCUAAGGCCGUUAGAUAUUUGGACAGGUCGAAAUUUGGUAGUAGAAGUAUUGUGGUAGUCCCUCAUCGCGUGAGCUCGAGAGGUUGACGUGAUGAUUAAGUUAGUAAUUUGGUCGCAUCGGUAAAUUUUGCGGGCGUGGUUUGAUAGGCUAGCACACACAUGAAAGUAUUGCGUUACUAGUUGGUUGAGUAAUUGGUAGUAGAGUAAAAUGUACAUGAUGAAGCUCAGGUAAUAGAGCAUAUACUAGCAUAAAAGUACAAUCUUAUCCUGUUUGAAUUUAGCAAUUGGAUCUGGGUUAUGAAUCUAGUUGCAUUUUCUGUCGUAUAGGAUGAAGAUCAUUAAUGACAUGCUUAAUUGUACCGCGGGUGGUAUAAUAGUAGCAUUAUCUUGUUCAACUGUUUUUCUUAAAGAUAUCUAAGUUAAAGGAAGGUUUAAGGCUUAAAGUGGUCUGGAGGGUUGUAAAAAUUAAUACCUGUAAUUAUUAAUCAUACCUAUUAAUCGCGUUGGCGGGUUUGUACAGUAGGUACGCCUGGGUACGCGGAGUUGUUUCCUUUUACCAAUUUACUAUGUCGGAGUUGGUCUGUUAAGGUGCACUGGAAACAUGAGUGCGCGGAGGCUUUGAGCAGGGUGCAGGCAUAUCUGUGUAGGUACCCCAUUCUUCGUUUGCCUGAUCCUUCAUUGCCAUUUUUUCUUCAGACCGAUGCUUCGGACAAAGGAAUCUCCGGUAUACUGAGUCAGUGCGUGAAAGGUGUUCUGCAUCCCGUCAAGUAUGUGAGUCGCAAGUUGUUGCCUCGGGAGCAGAGAUAUUCCAUCAUCGAGAGAGAAGGCUUGGCUAUUGUAUCUGCCAUUAGAAAACUGGACAGAUACCUUAGGGGAACGACGUUUCACCUUCAGACAGACCACAAGGCCUUGGCUUACCUCCGGAGCACGAACUUUACGAACCACCGUGUUACGAGGUGGGCGCUGAUGCUCCAGGACUACAAUUUCGACGUGUGUCACAUAAAAGGAGAGGACAAUAUACUUGCAGACUUGUGCUCAAGACUGGUGUGAUUCGCACAAAAAGACUAUUUUAUUAUAGCUAUUGCUUGAUAUGUAUGAAUAUGUAUGUAAUAUGUACUGCUUGUUUUUAUUAUGCAUUGUAAUGUUAUAAUAGUUUUAUGAUGGAUGUUGUUCUUUGCGACAUCAUCUAUGUGAAUAAUUAUGUAAUUUUGACUUUAUGAAGGUUGUAUUCUUCGGCGUCAAUGUUGGCAAUGUUUCCUAAUUCUUUUGCUGUCUCUAUACUUCAGUUUUCAAUUUUUUUUGAAGACUGGACUUGUUUUCGCAAGAUCCAGUUAGAGGGAGAGGGGGGAUGUCGUGCGCAUCUGGUAGGGUAUUUUCGUUUGAGCACCAUAAGGUCUUAUUAGUUCUGUUUCUAAGGAUGCGCUAUAUUGGUGUCAUUGUUCUCUUGUUGUGCCUUGAGAUGAGUCUCUUUAUGUUCUCUUUGUGUGCCUUGAGAUUGAGUUAUCUGUGUGGUGUUAUUCCCCAGUAUUGGGUAAGUUAGUUUAUUUUACUAUCUUCUACAUGUCGUAGCUUUACAAUCAUUUCUUUAAUAAUCGUGAGAAUGGCGGUAUCAAAGGAGUGUGUAUUUUUCUUAUUUAGGGACGCAGGCUUGGGACUCUGCUGGAGUCAAGUCUGAGUUGUAGGCUUGGUAGUUGACUAUUGCCCGUGGCGUUGGGUUGGCGUUGUGAGGCCGGAUUGACUAUGGCACUGAGAUUAAGGUGUGCUAUAGCCCGUUGAAUGUAAUCUGUAAUUGCCAUUGAUAUUUAUUCAUAAUGUAUGCCUCAUAAUAUCAUAUAUAUCAUUAACUCAUUAAACCUUUGUUGUUAUAUGCAAUAUUGUUAUUCAAUAGUAUACGUUAAUAGUUGGUUUAUUCGUUCCUAGAUAUGUAUUGCAUAAAUUGAUUACUAGACUGUUAGGGGUGCCCAGGCAGACGAGCCAAGGCUAAAUUAUAACCCCGGCAUAAAGCUAAUAAACACUGCUCAGGUGGGGAGCCCGGCGGAGUACAUCAUACCCUAGAUGAGCGCGAGGACAAAGCCCACCUGACAGAAAUGGGGGCUCUGGGAAACAAUAUGUAAAUGUCAACUUUGUGACCUCUGUGUCCUUGAUUUGACCGCUAGGGCCAGUAUAAAAUGCAGAUACAUAAUGGAUAUGUUUUGUAUAUUUUAAAGUGAUCAGUAAAUACAUUUAUGAUGUUAAAGCGGUCUGCUGUUGUGCAGCACUAAAUAGAUUAGACGAGCAUUCGGUGUAUUUUGCGUAAUGGGAUUGGUUCACAAUAUGGAUCGAGAAACUUAGAGUGUGUAGUUACUCUUUGAAACUAUUGUAACCUGUUCUUUUAUUUAUUGUCACCAACGCCUGAAUCCUCUGACUCUGAGCGGCAACGUGUGAGUGGAUCGAGUGCCUGUCGACGGGAUCGACCUGAAACUGUGUGUCUUGCUGGCUGGUGUACCGGAACCGUCCUGAAGUUAGAACCGUUUGUCUGCUCCAGUGGCCUUGGUUGUCUGUGGCUUCUAUCUCCUGCGGAGCCUGGAGUGAGGCGAUUUUCUUCCGACGCGGGAUACUGAGCAGAUAAGUCCUUGGCCCUGUUUUUGUCGAUGCGCCCUUGAUUUCAGUUAGCCCGUUGUAAUUAAGAAAUAAUAUAUAUAUUUUUUUCCUUUUUAUCUCUAUGAUCUAACUUUGGUUUUUGUUAGCGAUAGUUAGACUGUAAGUAUUAUUUAAUAGUCUGUGUGAUGGAGACGAGGUUGACUCUAACCGCCCAGUUCAUCAGUGACGGCCGUGCUCUCGGGUAUGAUGGUGAGAGGUUGGAGAGGUAUGUGGCAGAGCAGAAGGUUGAAUACGAGAGAGCCAAGAAGGAGGAGUUUGAACGAGAGACGGCUAGGCUUGAGCGAGAGGAGAGAUUGAAGAAAGAGGCGAAGGCAGAAGAGGAGAGAUUAAGGAAAGAGGCGCAGGCUGAGGAGAAAGCCAGACUUGAGCGUGAAGAGAGGUUGAGAAGAGAGGCGAAGGCGGAGGAAGAGAGGUUGAGAAAAGAGGCGAAGGCGGAGGAAGAGAGGUUGAGAAGAGAGGCGAAGGCAGAUGAGGCCGCCAGACAUGAACGAGAGGAGAGGGCCAGGCGUGAGGAACACGAGAGGUGGAAGGAGAGAGAUGCUAGAGAGGAGCUCAAGAGAAAAGAUGAACUGGAGUUGGCACGGCUUAAAGAGAAGUCGGCGCCAGAGGCAGGUGCAGUGGUAGGUCAGGCAGUUGAGGUGCGACAAAAGAGUGUCUUGGACAGGCUAGACAAGAACUUCCAAGGCAUGAAGGAAGAGGACGAUCUUCUGGCGUACCUGACGCACUUCGAGGCCGUAGCAGCAAGGUGUAAGAUUGAGAGUAAAGAGUGGGCCCUACUGUUGUCCUACAAACUGACGACAUCUCUCAAAAACUUUAUGUUGAGGGACAGUCUGUUCCUUAGCGACAAGUAUGAGGAUGUCAAAACGGCACUUCUCCGCCACGCAGACAUUAAUGCGGAGACAUGCCGCAAAAGGUUCCACCGGGUCAAACCACGGCAGAAUGACUUCCGUGGGUAUGUGACUGAGCGGAGGGCCGCGCUGGACAACUGGUGCAAAAUGGCCGAGGUAGGAAAGACGGUAGAUGAGAUCAAAGAUCUCUUGAUUAAAGACGGGAUACUUGAAAGUGUAUCAAGUGAAGUGUACAGGCAGCUUGUCUUAAACAAACAGAGUACGGUAGAGAACAUGCUGGAGGUAAUCGAAGGUUUUAAGGUAGCUGAUUCGAAUGUUUCAAUUAGUAAAGAAGAAACUGUGUAUGUGGCAGCAGCAUGUUGUGAGCCUGUGAUUAAGCAGAGUCCAGUGGUUAAAAGAAAGGUAAUUGUUUGUUUCAGGUGUGGCGAGCAAGGUCAUAAAUCAGCUGAGUGCUCUAAUGAAUUUGUUGCCCAAAAUAAUGAGACUGGUGUUGAGAAUGUAAAUCCCAAUGAUAUUGUAAAGGACCAAGACCAGCGAUCUAGACAUAGAUGACUAGAGGGUCGUCGCGAUUCGGAAGGUCGCCGUAGGUAUAAGUUAAUGCCGGAUCGUUAUACAGUUACUAUUAGGAAUUUGCCAUUCAAUGUUAACUGGCAAAAGCUUAAGGAUAGGUUUAGGGAGUUUGGUUUGUUUGGGUUUGUGGAGGUUUUAGAGGCAAACGGGAAGUCCAUGGGUGUUGGACAUGUAAGGUUUAAGAACUUAGCAGACGUUGCUAAGGCCGUUAGAUAUUUGGACAGGUCGAAAUUUGGUAGUAGAAGUAUUGUGGUAGUCCCUCAUCGCGUGAGCUCGAGAGGUUGACGUGAUGAUUAAGUUAGUAAUUUGGUCGCAUCGGUAAAUUUUGCGGGCGUGGUUUGAUAGGCUAGCACACACAUGAAAGUAUUGCGUUACUAGUUGGUUGAGUAAUUGGUAGUAGAGUAAAAUGUACAUGAUGAAGCUCAGGUAAUAGAGCAUAUACUAGCAUAAAAGUACAAUCUUAUCCUGUUUGAAUUUAGCAAUUGGAUCUGGGUUAUGAAUCUAGUUGCAUUUUCUGUCGUAUAGGAUGAAGAUCAUUAAUGACAUGCUUAAUUGUACCGCGGGUGGUAUAAUAGUAGCAUUAUCUUGUUCAACUGUUUUUCUUAAAGAUAUCUAAGUUAAAGGAAGGUUUAAGGCUUAAAGUGGUCUGGAGGGUUGUAAAAAUUAAUACCUGUAAUUAUUAAUCAUACCUAUUAAUCGCGUUGGCGGGUUUGUACAGUAGGUACGCCUGGGUACGCGGAGUUGUUUCCUUUUACCAAUUUACUAUGUCGGAGUUGGUCUGUUAAGGUGCACUGGAAACAUGAGUGCGCGGAGGCUUUGAGCAGGGUGCAGGCAUAUCUGUGUAGGUACCCCAUUCUUCGUUUGCCUGAUCCUUCAUUGCCAUUUUUUCUUCAGACCGAUGCUUCGGACAAAGGAAUCUCCGGUAUACUGAGUCAGUGCGUGAAAGGUGUUCUGCAUCCCGUCAAGUAUGUGAGUCGCAAGUUGUUGCCUCGGGAGCAGAGAUAUUCCAUCAUCGAGAGAGAAGGCUUGGCUAUUGUAUCUGCCAUUAGAAAACUGGACAGAUACCUUAGGGGAACGACGUUUCACCUUCAGACAGACCACAAGGCCUUGGCUUACCUCCGGAGCACGAACUUUACGAACCACCGUGUUACGAGGUGGGCGCUGAUGCUCCAGGACUACAAUUUCGACGUGUGUCACAUAAAAGGAGAGGACAAUAUACUUGCAGACUUGUGCUCAAGACUGGUGUGAUUCGCACAAAAAGACUAUUUUAUUAUAGCUAUUGCUUGAUAUGUAUGAAUAUGUAUGUAAUAUGUACUGCUUGUUUUUAUUAUGCAUUGUAAUGUUAUAAUAGUUUUAUGAUGGAUGUUGUUCUUUGCGACAUCAUCUAUGUGAAUAAUUAUGUAAUUUUGACUUUAUGAAGGUUGUAUUCUUCGGCGUCAAUGUUGGCAAUGUUUCCUAAUUCUUUUGCUGUCUCUAUACUUCAGUUUUCAAUUUUUUUUGAAGACUGGACUUGUUUUCGCAAGAUCCAGUUAGAGGGAGAGGGGGGAUGUCGUGCGCAUCUGGUAGGGUAUUUUCGUUUGAGCACCAUAAGGUCUUAUUAGUUCUGUUUCUAAGGAUGCGCUAUAUUGGUGUCAUUGUUCUCUUGUUGUGCCUUGAGAUGAGUCUCUUUAUGUUCUCUUUGUGUGCCUUGAGAUUGAGUUAUCUGUGUGGUGUUAUUCCCCAGUAUUGGGUAAGUUAGUUUAUUUUACUAUCUUCUACAUGUCGUAGCUUUACAAUCAUUUCUUUAAUAAUCGUGAGAAUGGCGGUAUCAAAGGAGUGUGUAUUUUUCUUAUUUAGGGACGCAGGCUUGGGACUCUGCUGGAGUCAAGUCUGAGUUGUAGGCUUGGUAGUUGACUAUUGCCCGUGGCGUUGGGUUGGCGUUGUGAGGCCGGAUUGACUAUGGCACUGAGAUUAAGGUGUGCUAUAGCCCGUUGAAUGUAAUCUGUAAUUGCCAUUGAUAUUUAUUCAUAAUGUAUGCCUCAUAAUAUCAUAUAUAUCAUUAACUCAUUAAACCUUUGUUGUUAUAUGCAAUAUUGUUAUUCAAUAGUAUACGUUAAUAGUUGGUUUAUUCGUUCCUAGAUAUGUAUUGCAUAAAUUGAUUACUAGACUGUUAGGGGUGCCCAGGCAGACGAGCCAAGGCUAAAUUAUAACCCCGGCAUAAAGCUAAUAAACACUGCUCAGGUGGGGAGCCCGGCGGAGUACAUCAUACCCUAGAUGAGCGCGAGGACAAAGCCCACCUGACAGAAAUGGGGGCUCUGGGAAACAAUAUGUAAAUGUCAACUUUGUGACCUCUGUGUCCUUGAUUUGACCGCUAGGGCCAGUAUAAAAUGCAGAUACAUAAUGGAUAUGUUUUGUAUAUUUUAAAGUGAUCAGUAAAUACAUUUAUGAUGUUAAAGCGGUCUGCUGUUGUGCAGCACUAAAUAGAUUAGACGAGCAUUCGGUGUAUUUUGCGUAAUGGGAUUGGUUCACAAUAUGGAUCGAGAAACUUAGAGUGUGUAGUUACUCUUUGAAACUAUUGUAACCUGUUCUUUUAUUUAUUGUCACCAACGCCUGAAUCCUCUGACUCUGAGCGGCAACGUGUGAGUGGAUCGAGUGCCUGUCGACGGGAUCGACCUGAAACUGUGUGUCUUGCUGGCUGGUGUACCGGAACCGUCCUGAAGUUAGAACCGUUUGUCUGCUCCAGUGGCCUUGGUUGUCUGUGGCUUCUAUCUCCUGCGGAGCCUGGAGUGAGGCGAUUUUCUUCCGACGCGGGAUACUGAGCAGAUAAGUCCUUGGCCCUGUUUUUGUCGAUGCGCCCUUGAUUUCAGUUAGCCCGUUGUAAUUAAGAAAUAAUAUAUAUAUUUUUUUCCUUUUUAUCUCUAUGAUCUAACUUUGGUUUUUGUUAGCGAUAGUUAGACUGUAAGUAUUAUUUAAUAGUCUGUGUGAUGGAGACGAGGUUGACUCUAACCGCCCAGUUCAUCAGUGACGGCCGUGCUCUCGGGUAUGAUGGUGAGAGGUUGGAGAGGUAUGUGGCAGAGCAGAAGGUUGAAUACGAGAGAGCCAAGAAGGAGGAGUUUGAACGAGAGACGGCUAGGCUUGAGCGAGAGGAGAGAUUGAAGAAAGAGGCGAAGGCAGAAGAGGAGAGAUUAAGGAAAGAGGCGCAGGCUGAGGAGAAAGCCAGACUUGAGCGUGAAGAGAGGUUGAGAAGAGAGGCGAAGGCGGAGGAAGAGAGGUUGAGAAAAGAGGCGAAGGCGGAGGAAGAGAGGUUGAGAAGAGAGGCGAAGGCAGAUGAGGCCGCCAGACAUGAACGAGAGGAGAGGGCCAGGCGUGAGGAACACGAGAGGUGGAAGGAGAGAGAUGCUAGAGAGGAGCUCAAGAGAAAAGAUGAACUGGAGUUGGCACGGCUUAAAGAGAAGUCGGCGCCAGAGGCAGGUGCAGUGGUAGGUCAGGCAGUUGAGGUGCGACAAAAGAGUGUCUUGGACAGGCUAGACAAGAACUUCCAAGGCAUGAAGGAAGAGGACGAUCUUCUGGCGUACCUGACGCACUUCGAGGCCGUAGCAGCAAGGUGUAAGAUUGAGAGUAAAGAGUGGGCCCUACUGUUGUCCUACAAACUGACGACAUCUCUCAAAAACUUUAUGUUGAGGGACAGUCUGUUCCUUAGCGACAAGUAUGAGGAUGUCAAAACGGCACUUCUCCGCCACGCAGACAUUAAUGCGGAGACAUGCCGCAAAAGGUUCCACCGGGUCAAACCACGGCAGAAUGACUUCCGUGGGUAUGUGACUGAGCGGAGGGCCGCGCUGGACAACUGGUGCAAAAUGGCCGAGGUAGGAAAGACGGUAGAUGAGAUCAAAGAUCUCUUGAUUAAAGACGGGAUACUUGAAAGUGUAUCAAGUGAAGUGUACAGGCAGCUUGUCUUAAACAAACAGAGUACGGUAGAGAACAUGCUGGAGGUAAUCGAAGGUUUUAAGGUAGCUGAUUCGAAUGUUUCAAUUAGUAAAGAAGAAACUGUGUAUGUGGCAGCAGCAUGUUGUGAGCCUGUGAUUAAGCAGAGUCCAGUGGUUAAAAGAAAGGUAAUUGUUUGUUUCAGGUGUGGCGAGCAAGGUCAUAAAUCAGCUGAGUGCUCUAAUGAAUUUGUUGCCCAAAAUAAUGAGACUGGUGUUGAGAAUGUAAAUCCCAAUGAUAUUGUAAAGGACCAAGACCAGCGAUCUAGACAUAGAUGACUAGAGGGUCGUCGCGAUUCGGAAGGUCGCCGUAGGUAUAAGUUAAUGCCGGAUCGUUAUACAGUUACUAUUAGGAAUUUGCCAUUCAAUGUUAACUGGCAAAAGCUUAAGGAUAGGUUUAGGGAGUUUGGUUUGUUUGGGUUUGUGGAGGUUUUAGAGGCAAACGGGAAGUCCAUGGGUGUUGGACAUGUAAGGUUUAAGAACUUAGCAGACGUUGCUAAGGCCGUUAGAUAUUUGGACAGGUCGAAAUUUGGUAGUAGAAGUAUUGUGGUAGUCCCUCAUCGCGUGAGCUCGAGAGGUUGACGUGAUGAUUAAGUUAGUAAUUUGGUCGCAUCGGUAAAUUUUGCGGGCGUGGUUUGAUAGGCUAGCACACACAUGAAAGUAUUGCGUUACUAGUUGGUUGAGUAAUUGGUAGUAGAGUAAAAUGUACAUGAUGAAGCUCAGGUAAUAGAGCAUAUACUAGCAUAAAAGUACAAUCUUAUCCUGUUUGAAUUUAGCAAUUGGAUCUGGGUUAUGAAUCUAGUUGCAUUUUCUGUCGUAUAGGAUGAAGAUCAUUAAUGACAUGCUUAAUUGUACCGCGGGUGGUAUAAUAGUAGCAUUAUCUUGUUCAACUGUUUUUCUUAAAGAUAUCUAAGUUAAAGGAAGGUUUAAGGCUUAAAGUGGUCUGGAGGGUUGUAAAAAUUAAUACCUGUAAUUAUUAAUCAUACCUAUUAAUCGCGUUGGCGGGUUUGUACAGUAGGUACGCCUGGGUACGCGGAGUUGUUUCCUUUUACCAAUUUACUAUGUCGGAGUUGGUCUGUUAAGGUGCACUGGAAACAUGAGUGCGCGGAGGCUUUGAGCAGGGUGCAGGCAUAUCUGUGUAGGUACCCCAUUCUUCGUUUGCCUGAUCCUUCAUUGCCAUUUUUUCUUCAGACCGAUGCUUCGGACAAAGGAAUCUCCGGUAUACUGAGUCAGUGCGUGAAAGGUGUUCUGCAUCCCGUCAAGUAUGUGAGUCGCAAGUUGUUGCCUCGGGAGCAGAGAUAUUCCAUCAUCGAGAGAGAAGGCUUGGCUAUUGUAUCUGCCAUUAGAAAACUGGACAGAUACCUUAGGGGAACGACGUUUCACCUUCAGACAGACCACAAGGCCUUGGCUUACCUCCGGAGCACGAACUUUACGAACCACCGUGUUACGAGGUGGGCGCUGAUGCUCCAGGACUACAAUUUCGACGUGUGUCACAUAAAAGGAGAGGACAAUAUACUUGCAGACUUGUGCUCAAGACUGGUGUGAUUCGCACAAAAAGACUAUUUUAUUAUAGCUAUUGCUUGAUAUGUAUGAAUAUGUAUGUAAUAUGUACUGCUUGUUUUUAUUAUGCAUUGUAAUGUUAUAAUAGUUUUAUGAUGGAUGUUGUUCUUUGCGACAUCAUCUAUGUGAAUAAUUAUGUAAUUUUGACUUUAUGAAGGUUGUAUUCUUCGGCGUCAAUGUUGGCAAUGUUUCCUAAUUCUUUUGCUGUCUCUAUACUUCAGUUUUCAAUUUUUUUUGAAGACUGGACUUGUUUUCGCAAGAUCCAGUUAGAGGGAGAGGGGGGAUGUCGUGCGCAUCUGGUAGGGUAUUUUCGUUUGAGCACCAUAAGGUCUUAUUAGUUCUGUUUCUAAGGAUGCGCUAUAUUGGUGUCAUUGUUCUCUUGUUGUGCCUUGAGAUGAGUCUCUUUAUGUUCUCUUUGUGUGCCUUGAGAUUGAGUUAUCUGUGUGGUGUUAUUCCCCAGUAUUGGGUAAGUUAGUUUAUUUUACUAUCUUCUACAUGUCGUAGCUUUACAAUCAUUUCUUUAAUAAUCGUGAGAAUGGCGGUAUCAAAGGAGUGUGUAUUUUUCUUAUUUAGGGACGCAGGCUUGGGACUCUGCUGGAGUCAAGUCUGAGUUGUAGGCUUGGUAGUUGACUAUUGCCCGUGGCGUUGGGUUGGCGUUGUGAGGCCGGAUUGACUAUGGCACUGAGAUUAAGGUGUGCUAUAGCCCGUUGAAUGUAAUCUGUAAUUGCCAUUGAUAUUUAUUCAUAAUGUAUGCCUCAUAAUAUCAUAUAUAUCAUUAACUCAUUAAACCUUUGUUGUUAUAUGCAAUAUUGUUAUUCAAUAGUAUACGUUAAUAGUUGGUUUAUUCGUUCCUAGAUAUGUAUUGCAUAAAUUGAUUACUAGACUGUUAGGGGUGCCCAGGCAGACGAGCCAAGGCUAAAUUAUAACCCCGGCAUAAAGCUAAUAAACACUGCUCAGGUGGGGAGCCCGGCGGAGUACAUCAUACCCUAGAUGAGCGCGAGGACAAAGCCCACCUGACAGAAAUGGGGGCUCUGGGAAACAAUAUGUAAAUGUCAACUUUGUGACCUCUGUGUCCUUGAUUUGACCGCUAGGGCCAGUAUAAAAUGCAGAUACAUAAUGGAUAUGUUUUGUAUAUUUUAAAGUGAUCAGUAAAUACAUUUAUGAUGUUAAAGCGGUCUGCUGUUGUGCAGCACUAAAUAGAUUAGACGAGCAUUCGGUGUAUUUUGCGUAAUGGGAUUGGUUCACAAUAUGGAUCGAGAAACUUAGAGUGUGUAGUUACUCUUUGAAACUAUUGUAACCUGUUCUUUUAUUUAUUGUCACCAACGCCUGAAUCCUCUGACUCUGAGCGGCAACGUGUGAGUGGAUCGAGUGCCUGUCGACGGGAUCGACCUGAAACUGUGUGUCUUGCUGGCUGGUGUACCGGAACCGUCCUGAAGUUAGAACCGUUUGUCUGCUCCAGUGGCCUUGGUUGUCUGUGGCUUCUAUCUCCUGCGGAGCCUGGAGUGAGGCGAUUUUCUUCCGACGCGGGAUACUGAGCAGAUAAGUCCUUGGCCCUGUUUUUGUCGAUGCGCCCUUGAUUUCAGUUAGCCCGUUGUAAUUAAGAAAUAAUAUAUAUAUUUUUUUCCUUUUUAUCUCUAUGAUCUAACUUUGGUUUUUGUUAGCGAUAGUUAGACUGUAAGUAUUAUUUAAUAGUCUGUGUGAUGGAGACGAGGUUGACUCUAACCGCCCAGUUCAUCAGUGACGGCCGUGCUCUCGGGUAUGAUGGUGAGAGGUUGGAGAGGUAUGUGGCAGAGCAGAAGGUUGAAUACGAGAGAGCCAAGAAGGAGGAGUUUGAACGAGAGACGGCUAGGCUUGAGCGAGAGGAGAGAUUGAAGAAAGAGGCGAAGGCAGAAGAGGAGAGAUUAAGGAAAGAGGCGCAGGCUGAGGAGAAAGCCAGACUUGAGCGUGAAGAGAGGUUGAGAAGAGAGGCGAAGGCGGAGGAAGAGAGGUUGAGAAAAGAGGCGAAGGCGGAGGAAGAGAGGUUGAGAAGAGAGGCGAAGGCAGAUGAGGCCGCCAGACAUGAACGAGAGGAGAGGGCCAGGCGUGAGGAACACGAGAGGUGGAAGGAGAGAGAUGCUAGAGAGGAGCUCAAGAGAAAAGAUGAACUGGAGUUGGCACGGCUUAAAGAGAAGUCGGCGCCAGAGGCAGGUGCAGUGGUAGGUCAGGCAGUUGAGGUGCGACAAAAGAGUGUCUUGGACAGGCUAGACAAGAACUUCCAAGGCAUGAAGGAAGAGGACGAUCUUCUGGCGUACCUGACGCACUUCGAGGCCGUAGCAGCAAGGUGUAAGAUUGAGAGUAAAGAGUGGGCCCUACUGUUGUCCUACAAACUGACGACAUCUCUCAAAAACUUUAUGUUGAGGGACAGUCUGUUCCUUAGCGACAAGUAUGAGGAUGUCAAAACGGCACUUCUCCGCCACGCAGACAUUAAUGCGGAGACAUGCCGCAAAAGGUUCCACCGGGUCAAACCACGGCAGAAUGACUUCCGUGGGUAUGUGACUGAGCGGAGGGCCGCGCUGGACAACUGGUGCAAAAUGGCCGAGGUAGGAAAGACGGUAGAUGAGAUCAAAGAUCUCUUGAUUAAAGACGGGAUACUUGAAAGUGUAUCAAGUGAAGUGUACAGGCAGCUUGUCUUAAACAAACAGAGUACGGUAGAGAACAUGCUGGAGGUAAUCGAAGGUUUUAAGGUAGCUGAUUCGAAUGUUUCAAUUAGUAAAGAAGAAACUGUGUAUGUGGCAGCAGCAUGUUGUGAGCCUGUGAUUAAGCAGAGUCCAGUGGUUAAAAGAAAGGUAAUUGUUUGUUUCAGGUGUGGCGAGCAAGGUCAUAAAUCAGCUGAGUGCUCUAAUGAAUUUGUUGCCCAAAAUAAUGAGACUGGUGUUGAGAAUGUAAAUCCCAAUGAUAUUGUAAAGGACCAAGACCAGCGAUCUAGACAUAGAUGACUAGAGGGUCGUCGCGAUUCGGAAGGUCGCCGUAGGUAUAAGUUAAUGCCGGAUCGUUAUACAGUUACUAUUAGGAAUUUGCCAUUCAAUGUUAACUGGCAAAAGCUUAAGGAUAGGUUUAGGGAGUUUGGUUUGUUUGGGUUUGUGGAGGUUUUAGAGGCAAACGGGAAGUCCAUGGGUGUUGGACAUGUAAGGUUUAAGAACUUAGCAGACGUUGCUAAGGCCGUUAGAUAUUUGGACAGGUCGAAAUUUGGUAGUAGAAGUAUUGUGGUAGUCCCUCAUCGCGUGAGCUCGAGAGGUUGACGUGAUGAUUAAGUUAGUAAUUUGGUCGCAUCGGUAAAUUUUGCGGGCGUGGUUUGAUAGGCUAGCACACACAUGAAAGUAUUGCGUUACUAGUUGGUUGAGUAAUUGGUAGUAGAGUAAAAUGUACAUGAUGAAGCUCAGGUAAUAGAGCAUAUACUAGCAUAAAAGUACAAUCUUAUCCUGUUUGAAUUUAGCAAUUGGAUCUGGGUUAUGAAUCUAGUUGCAUUUUCUGUCGUAUAGGAUGAAGAUCAUUAAUGACAUGCUUAAUUGUACCGCGGGUGGUAUAAUAGUAGCAUUAUCUUGUUCAACUGUUUUUCUUAAAGAUAUCUAAGUUAAAGGAAGGUUUAAGGCUUAAAGUGGUCUGGAGGGUUGUAAAAAUUAAUACCUGUAAUUAUUAAUCAUACCUAUUAAUCGCGUUGGCGGGUUUGUACAGUAGGUACGCCUGGGUACGCGGAGUUGUUUCCUUUUACCAAUUUACUAUGUCGGAGUUGGUCUGUUAAGGUGCACUGGAAACAUGAGUGCGCGGAGGCUUUGAGCAGGGUGCAGGCAUAUCUGUGUAGGUACCCCAUUCUUCGUUUGCCUGAUCCUUCAUUGCCAUUUUUUCUUCAGACCGAUGCUUCGGACAAAGGAAUCUCCGGUAUACUGAGUCAGUGCGUGAAAGGUGUUCUGCAUCCCGUCAAGUAUGUGAGUCGCAAGUUGUUGCCUCGGGAGCAGAGAUAUUCCAUCAUCGAGAGAGAAGGCUUGGCUAUUGUAUCUGCCAUUAGAAAACUGGACAGAUACCUUAGGGGAACGACGUUUCACCUUCAGACAGACCACAAGGCCUUGGCUUACCUCCGGAGCACGAACUUUACGAACCACCGUGUUACGAGGUGGGCGCUGAUGCUCCAGGACUACAAUUUCGACGUGUGUCACAUAAAAGGAGAGGACAAUAUACUUGCAGACUUGUGCUCAAGACUGGUGUGAUUCGCACAAAAAGACUAUUUUAUUAUAGCUAUUGCUUGAUAUGUAUGAAUAUGUAUGUAAUAUGUACUGCUUGUUUUUAUUAUGCAUUGUAAUGUUAUAAUAGUUUUAUGAUGGAUGUUGUUCUUUGCGACAUCAUCUAUGUGAAUAAUUAUGUAAUUUUGACUUUAUGAAGGUUGUAUUCUUCGGCGUCAAUGUUGGCAAUGUUUCCUAAUUCUUUUGCUGUCUCUAUACUUCAGUUUUCAAUUUUUUUUGAAGACUGGACUUGUUUUCGCAAGAUCCAGUUAGAGGGAGAGGGGGGAUGUCGUGCGCAUCUGGUAGGGUAUUUUCGUUUGAGCACCAUAAGGUCUUAUUAGUUCUGUUUCUAAGGAUGCGCUAUAUUGGUGUCAUUGUUCUCUUGUUGUGCCUUGAGAUGAGUCUCUUUAUGUUCUCUUUGUGUGCCUUGAGAUUGAGUUAUCUGUGUGGUGUUAUUCCCCAGUAUUGGGUAAGUUAGUUUAUUUUACUAUCUUCUACAUGUCGUAGCUUUACAAUCAUUUCUUUAAUAAUCGUGAGAAUGGCGGUAUCAAAGGAGUGUGUAUUUUUCUUAUUUAGGGACGCAGGCUUGGGACUCUGCUGGAGUCAAGUCUGAGUUGUAGGCUUGGUAGUUGACUAUUGCCCGUGGCGUUGGGUUGGCGUUGUGAGGCCGGAUUGACUAUGGCACUGAGAUUAAGGUGUGCUAUAGCCCGUUGAAUGUAAUCUGUAAUUGCCAUUGAUAUUUAUUCAUAAUGUAUGCCUCAUAAUAUCAUAUAUAUCAUUAACUCAUUAAACCUUUGUUGUUAUAUGCAAUAUUGUUAUUCAAUAGUAUACGUUAAUAGUUGGUUUAUUCGUUCCUAGAUAUGUAUUGCAUAAAUUGAUUACUAGACUGUUAGGGGUGCCCAGGCAGACGAGCCAAGGCUAAAUUAUAACCCCGGCAUAAAGCUAAUAAACACUGCUCAGGUGGGGAGCCCGGCGGAGUACAUCAUACCCUAGAUGAGCGCGAGGACAAAGCCCACCUGACAGAAAUGGGGGCUCUGGGAAACAAUAUGUAAAUGUCAACUUUGUGACCUCUGUGUCCUUGAUUUGACCGCUAGGGCCAGUAUAAAAUGCAGAUACAUAAUGGAUAUGUUUUGUAUAUUUUAAAGUGAUCAGUAAAUACAUUUAUGAUGUUAAAGCGGUCUGCUGUUGUGCAGCACUAAAUAGAUUAGACGAGCAUUCGGUGUAUUUUGCGUAAUGGGAUUGGUUCACAAUAUGGAUCGAGAAACUUAGAGUGUGUAGUUACUCUUUGAAACUAUUGUAACCUGUUCUUUUAUUUAUUGUCACCAACGCCUGAAUCCUCUGACUCUGAGCGGCAACGUGUGAGUGGAUCGAGUGCCUGUCGACGGGAUCGACCUGAAACUGUGUGUCUUGCUGGCUGGUGUACCGGAACCGUCCUGAAGUUAGAACCGUUUGUCUGCUCCAGUGGCCUUGGUUGUCUGUGGCUUCUAUCUCCUGCGGAGCCUGGAGUGAGGCGAUUUUCUUCCGACGCGGGAUACUGAGCAGAUAAGUCCUUGGCCCUGUUUUUGUCGAUGCGCCCUUGAUUUCAGUUAGCCCGUUGUAAUUAAGAAAUAAUAUAUAUAUUUUUUUCCUUUUUAUCUCUAUGAUCUAACUUUGGUUUUUGUUAGCGAUAGUUAGACUGUAAGUAUUAUUUAAUAGUCUGUGUGAUGGAGACGAGGUUGACUCUAACCGCCCAGUUCAUCAGUGACGGCCGUGCUCUCGGGUAUGAUGGUGAGAGGUUGGAGAGGUAUGUGGCAGAGCAGAAGGUUGAAUACGAGAGAGCCAAGAAGGAGGAGUUUGAACGAGAGACGGCUAGGCUUGAGCGAGAGGAGAGAUUGAAGAAAGAGGCGAAGGCAGAAGAGGAGAGAUUAAGGAAAGAGGCGCAGGCUGAGGAGAAAGCCAGACUUGAGCGUGAAGAGAGGUUGAGAAGAGAGGCGAAGGCGGAGGAAGAGAGGUUGAGAAAAGAGGCGAAGGCGGAGGAAGAGAGGUUGAGAAGAGAGGCGAAGGCAGAUGAGGCCGCCAGACAUGAACGAGAGGAGAGGGCCAGGCGUGAGGAACACGAGAGGUGGAAGGAGAGAGAUGCUAGAGAGGAGCUCAAGAGAAAAGAUGAACUGGAGUUGGCACGGCUUAAAGAGAAGUCGGCGCCAGAGGCAGGUGCAGUGGUAGGUCAGGCAGUUGAGGUGCGACAAAAGAGUGUCUUGGACAGGCUAGACAAGAACUUCCAAGGCAUGAAGGAAGAGGACGAUCUUCUGGCGUACCUGACGCACUUCGAGGCCGUAGCAGCAAGGUGUAAGAUUGAGAGUAAAGAGUGGGCCCUACUGUUGUCCUACAAACUGACGACAUCUCUCAAAAACUUUAUGUUGAGGGACAGUCUGUUCCUUAGCGACAAGUAUGAGGAUGUCAAAACGGCACUUCUCCGCCACGCAGACAUUAAUGCGGAGACAUGCCGCAAAAGGUUCCACCGGGUCAAACCACGGCAGAAUGACUUCCGUGGGUAUGUGACUGAGCGGAGGGCCGCGCUGGACAACUGGUGCAAAAUGGCCGAGGUAGGAAAGACGGUAGAUGAGAUCAAAGAUCUCUUGAUUAAAGACGGGAUACUUGAAAGUGUAUCAAGUGAAGUGUACAGGCAGCUUGUCUUAAACAAACAGAGUACGGUAGAGAACAUGCUGGAGGUAAUCGAAGGUUUUAAGGUAGCUGAUUCGAAUGUUUCAAUUAGUAAAGAAGAAACUGUGUAUGUGGCAGCAGCAUGUUGUGAGCCUGUGAUUAAGCAGAGUCCAGUGGUUAAAAGAAAGGUAAUUGUUUGUUUCAGGUGUGGCGAGCAAGGUCAUAAAUCAGCUGAGUGCUCUAAUGAAUUUGUUGCCCAAAAUAAUGAGACUGGUGUUGAGAAUGUAAAUCCCAAUGAUAUUGUAAAGGACCAAGACCAGCGAUCUAGACAUAGAUGACUAGAGGGUCGUCGCGAUUCGGAAGGUCGCCGUAGGUAUAAGUUAAUGCCGGAUCGUUAUACAGUUACUAUUAGGAAUUUGCCAUUCAAUGUUAACUGGCAAAAGCUUAAGGAUAGGUUUAGGGAGUUUGGUUUGUUUGGGUUUGUGGAGGUUUUAGAGGCAAACGGGAAGUCCAUGGGUGUUGGACAUGUAAGGUUUAAGAACUUAGCAGACGUUGCUAAGGCCGUUAGAUAUUUGGACAGGUCGAAAUUUGGUAGUAGAAGUAUUGUGGUAGUCCCUCAUCGCGUGAGCUCGAGAGGUUGACGUGAUGAUUAAGUUAGUAAUUUGGUCGCAUCGGUAAAUUUUGCGGGCGUGGUUUGAUAGGCUAGCACACACAUGAAAGUAUUGCGUUACUAGUUGGUUGAGUAAUUGGUAGUAGAGUAAAAUGUACAUGAUGAAGCUCAGGUAAUAGAGCAUAUACUAGCAUAAAAGUACAAUCUUAUCCUGUUUGAAUUUAGCAAUUGGAUCUGGGUUAUGAAUCUAGUUGCAUUUUCUGUCGUAUAGGAUGAAGAUCAUUAAUGACAUGCUUAAUUGUACCGCGGGUGGUAUAAUAGUAGCAUUAUCUUGUUCAACUGUUUUUCUUAAAGAUAUCUAAGUUAAAGGAAGGUUUAAGGCUUAAAGUGGUCUGGAGGGUUGUAAAAAUUAAUACCUGUAAUUAUUAAUCAUACCUAUUAAUCGCGUUGGCGGGUUUGUACAGUAGGUACGCCUGGGUACGCGGAGUUGUUUCCUUUUACCAAUUUACUAUGUCGGAGUUGGUCUGUUAAGGUGCACUGGAAACAUGAGUGCGCGGAGGCUUUGAGCAGGGUGCAGGCAUAUCUGUGUAGGUACCCCAUUCUUCGUUUGCCUGAUCCUUCAUUGCCAUUUUUUCUUCAGACCGAUGCUUCGGACAAAGGAAUCUCCGGUAUACUGAGUCAGUGCGUGAAAGGUGUUCUGCAUCCCGUCAAGUAUGUGAGUCGCAAGUUGUUGCCUCGGGAGCAGAGAUAUUCCAUCAUCGAGAGAGAAGGCUUGGCUAUUGUAUCUGCCAUUAGAAAACUGGACAGAUACCUUAGGGGAACGACGUUUCACCUUCAGACAGACCACAAGGCCUUGGCUUACCUCCGGAGCACGAACUUUACGAACCACCGUGUUACGAGGUGGGCGCUGAUGCUCCAGGACUACAAUUUCGACGUGUGUCACAUAAAAGGAGAGGACAAUAUACUUGCAGACUUGUGCUCAAGACUGGUGUGAUUCGCACAAAAAGACUAUUUUAUUAUAGCUAUUGCUUGAUAUGUAUGAAUAUGUAUGUAAUAUGUACUGCUUGUUUUUAUUAUGCAUUGUAAUGUUAUAAUAGUUUUAUGAUGGAUGUUGUUCUUUGCGACAUCAUCUAUGUGAAUAAUUAUGUAAUUUUGACUUUAUGAAGGUUGUAUUCUUCGGCGUCAAUGUUGGCAAUGUUUCCUAAUUCUUUUGCUGUCUCUAUACUUCAGUUUUCAAUUUUUUUUGAAGACUGGACUUGUUUUCGCAAGAUCCAGUUAGAGGGAGAGGGGGGAUGUCGUGCGCAUCUGGUAGGGUAUUUUCGUUUGAGCACCAUAAGGUCUUAUUAGUUCUGUUUCUAAGGAUGCGCUAUAUUGGUGUCAUUGUUCUCUUGUUGUGCCUUGAGAUGAGUCUCUUUAUGUUCUCUUUGUGUGCCUUGAGAUUGAGUUAUCUGUGUGGUGUUAUUCCCCAGUAUUGGGUAAGUUAGUUUAUUUUACUAUCUUCUACAUGUCGUAGCUUUACAAUCAUUUCUUUAAUAAUCGUGAGAAUGGCGGUAUCAAAGGAGUGUGUAUUUUUCUUAUUUAGGGACGCAGGCUUGGGACUCUGCUGGAGUCAAGUCUGAGUUGUAGGCUUGGUAGUUGACUAUUGCCCGUGGCGUUGGGUUGGCGUUGUGAGGCCGGAUUGACUAUGGCACUGAGAUUAAGGUGUGCUAUAGCCCGUUGAAUGUAAUCUGUAAUUGCCAUUGAUAUUUAUUCAUAAUGUAUGCCUCAUAAUAUCAUAUAUAUCAUUAACUCAUUAAACCUUUGUUGUUAUAUGCAAUAUUGUUAUUCAAUAGUAUACGUUAAUAGUUGGUUUAUUCGUUCCUAGAUAUGUAUUGCAUAAAUUGAUUACUAGACUGUUAGGGGUGCCCAGGCAGACGAGCCAAGGCUAAAUUAUAACCCCGGCAUAAAGCUAAUAAACACUGCUCAGGUGGGGAGCCCGGCGGAGUACAUCAUACCCUAGAUGAGCGCGAGGACAAAGCCCACCUGACAGAAAUGGGGGCUCUGGGAAACAAUAUGUAAAUGUCAACUUUGUGACCUCUGUGUCCUUGAUUUGACCGCUAGGGCCAGUAUAAAAUGCAGAUACAUAAUGGAUAUGUUUUGUAUAUUUUAAAGUGAUCAGUAAAUACAUUUAUGAUGUUAAAGCGGUCUGCUGUUGUGCAGCACUAAAUAGAUUAGACGAGCAUUCGGUGUAUUUUGCGUAAUGGGAUUGGUUCACAAUAUGGAUCGAGAAACUUAGAGUGUGUAGUUACUCUUUGAAACUAUUGUAACCUGUUCUUUUAUUUAUUGUCACCAACGCCUGAAUCCUCUGACUCUGAGCGGCAACGUGUGAGUGGAUCGAGUGCCUGUCGACGGGAUCGACCUGAAACUGUGUGUCUUGCUGGCUGGUGUACCGGAACCGUCCUGAAGUUAGAACCGUUUGUCUGCUCCAGUGGCCUUGGUUGUCUGUGGCUUCUAUCUCCUGCGGAGCCUGGAGUGAGGCGAUUUUCUUCCGACGCGGGAUACUGAGCAGAUAAGUCCUUGGCCCUGUUUUUGUCGAUGCGCCCUUGAUUUCAGUUAGCCCGUUGUAAUUAAGAAAUAAUAUAUAUAUUUUUUUCCUUUUUAUCUCUAUGAUCUAACUUUGGUUUUUGUUAGCGAUAGUUAGACUGUAAGUAUUAUUUAAUAGUCUGUGUGAUGGAGACGAGGUUGACUCUAACCGCCCAGUUCAUCAGUGACGGCCGUGCUCUCGGGUAUGAUGGUGAGAGGUUGGAGAGGUAUGUGGCAGAGCAGAAGGUUGAAUACGAGAGAGCCAAGAAGGAGGAGUUUGAACGAGAGACGGCUAGGCUUGAGCGAGAGGAGAGAUUGAAGAAAGAGGCGAAGGCAGAAGAGGAGAGAUUAAGGAAAGAGGCGCAGGCUGAGGAGAAAGCCAGACUUGAGCGUGAAGAGAGGUUGAGAAGAGAGGCGAAGGCGGAGGAAGAGAGGUUGAGAAAAGAGGCGAAGGCGGAGGAAGAGAGGUUGAGAAGAGAGGCGAAGGCAGAUGAGGCCGCCAGACAUGAACGAGAGGAGAGGGCCAGGCGUGAGGAACACGAGAGGUGGAAGGAGAGAGAUGCUAGAGAGGAGCUCAAGAGAAAAGAUGAACUGGAGUUGGCACGGCUUAAAGAGAAGUCGGCGCCAGAGGCAGGUGCAGUGGUAGGUCAGGCAGUUGAGGUGCGACAAAAGAGUGUCUUGGACAGGCUAGACAAGAACUUCCAAGGCAUGAAGGAAGAGGACGAUCUUCUGGCGUACCUGACGCACUUCGAGGCCGUAGCAGCAAGGUGUAAGAUUGAGAGUAAAGAGUGGGCCCUACUGUUGUCCUACAAACUGACGACAUCUCUCAAAAACUUUAUGUUGAGGGACAGUCUGUUCCUUAGCGACAAGUAUGAGGAUGUCAAAACGGCACUUCUCCGCCACGCAGACAUUAAUGCGGAGACAUGCCGCAAAAGGUUCCACCGGGUCAAACCACGGCAGAAUGACUUCCGUGGGUAUGUGACUGAGCGGAGGGCCGCGCUGGACAACUGGUGCAAAAUGGCCGAGGUAGGAAAGACGGUAGAUGAGAUCAAAGAUCUCUUGAUUAAAGACGGGAUACUUGAAAGUGUAUCAAGUGAAGUGUACAGGCAGCUUGUCUUAAACAAACAGAGUACGGUAGAGAACAUGCUGGAGGUAAUCGAAGGUUUUAAGGUAGCUGAUUCGAAUGUUUCAAUUAGUAAAGAAGAAACUGUGUAUGUGGCAGCAGCAUGUUGUGAGCCUGUGAUUAAGCAGAGUCCAGUGGUUAAAAGAAAGGUAAUUGUUUGUUUCAGGUGUGGCGAGCAAGGUCAUAAAUCAGCUGAGUGCUCUAAUGAAUUUGUUGCCCAAAAUAAUGAGACUGGUGUUGAGAAUGUAAAUCCCAAUGAUAUUGUAAAGGACCAAGACCAGCGAUCUAGACAUAGAUGACUAGAGGGUCGUCGCGAUUCGGAAGGUCGCCGUAGGUAUAAGUUAAUGCCGGAUCGUUAUACAGUUACUAUUAGGAAUUUGCCAUUCAAUGUUAACUGGCAAAAGCUUAAGGAUAGGUUUAGGGAGUUUGGUUUGUUUGGGUUUGUGGAGGUUUUAGAGGCAAACGGGAAGUCCAUGGGUGUUGGACAUGUAAGGUUUAAGAACUUAGCAGACGUUGCUAAGGCCGUUAGAUAUUUGGACAGGUCGAAAUUUGGUAGUAGAAGUAUUGUGGUAGUCCCUCAUCGCGUGAGCUCGAGAGGUUGACGUGAUGAUUAAGUUAGUAAUUUGGUCGCAUCGGUAAAUUUUGCGGGCGUGGUUUGAUAGGCUAGCACACACAUGAAAGUAUUGCGUUACUAGUUGGUUGAGUAAUUGGUAGUAGAGUAAAAUGUACAUGAUGAAGCUCAGGUAAUAGAGCAUAUACUAGCAUAAAAGUACAAUCUUAUCCUGUUUGAAUUUAGCAAUUGGAUCUGGGUUAUGAAUCUAGUUGCAUUUUCUGUCGUAUAGGAUGAAGAUCAUUAAUGACAUGCUUAAUUGUACCGCGGGUGGUAUAAUAGUAGCAUUAUCUUGUUCAACUGUUUUUCUUAAAGAUAUCUAAGUUAAAGGAAGGUUUAAGGCUUAAAGUGGUCUGGAGGGUUGUAAAAAUUAAUACCUGUAAUUAUUAAUCAUACCUAUUAAUCGCGUUGGCGGGUUUGUACAGUAGGUACGCCUGGGUACGCGGAGUUGUUUCCUUUUACCAAUUUACUAUGUCGGAGUUGGUCUGUUAAGGUGCACUGGAAACAUGAGUGCGCGGAGGCUUUGAGCAGGGUGCAGGCAUAUCUGUGUAGGUACCCCAUUCUUCGUUUGCCUGAUCCUUCAUUGCCAUUUUUUCUUCAGACCGAUGCUUCGGACAAAGGAAUCUCCGGUAUACUGAGUCAGUGCGUGAAAGGUGUUCUGCAUCCCGUCAAGUAUGUGAGUCGCAAGUUGUUGCCUCGGGAGCAGAGAUAUUCCAUCAUCGAGAGAGAAGGCUUGGCUAUUGUAUCUGCCAUUAGAAAACUGGACAGAUACCUUAGGGGAACGACGUUUCACCUUCAGACAGACCACAAGGCCUUGGCUUACCUCCGGAGCACGAACUUUACGAACCACCGUGUUACGAGGUGGGCGCUGAUGCUCCAGGACUACAAUUUCGACGUGUGUCACAUAAAAGGAGAGGACAAUAUACUUGCAGACUUGUGCUCAAGACUGGUGUGAUUCGCACAAAAAGACUAUUUUAUUAUAGCUAUUGCUUGAUAUGUAUGAAUAUGUAUGUAAUAUGUACUGCUUGUUUUUAUUAUGCAUUGUAAUGUUAUAAUAGUUUUAUGAUGGAUGUUGUUCUUUGCGACAUCAUCUAUGUGAAUAAUUAUGUAAUUUUGACUUUAUGAAGGUUGUAUUCUUCGGCGUCAAUGUUGGCAAUGUUUCCUAAUUCUUUUGCUGUCUCUAUACUUCAGUUUUCAAUUUUUUUUGAAGACUGGACUUGUUUUCGCAAGAUCCAGUUAGAGGGAGAGGGGGGAUGUCGUGCGCAUCUGGUAGGGUAUUUUCGUUUGAGCACCAUAAGGUCUUAUUAGUUCUGUUUCUAAGGAUGCGCUAUAUUGGUGUCAUUGUUCUCUUGUUGUGCCUUGAGAUGAGUCUCUUUAUGUUCUCUUUGUGUGCCUUGAGAUUGAGUUAUCUGUGUGGUGUUAUUCCCCAGUAUUGGGUAAGUUAGUUUAUUUUACUAUCUUCUACAUGUCGUAGCUUUACAAUCAUUUCUUUAAUAAUCGUGAGAAUGGCGGUAUCAAAGGAGUGUGUAUUUUUCUUAUUUAGGGACGCAGGCUUGGGACUCUGCUGGAGUCAAGUCUGAGUUGUAGGCUUGGUAGUUGACUAUUGCCCGUGGCGUUGGGUUGGCGUUGUGAGGCCGGAUUGACUAUGGCACUGAGAUUAAGGUGUGCUAUAGCCCGUUGAAUGUAAUCUGUAAUUGCCAUUGAUAUUUAUUCAUAAUGUAUGCCUCAUAAUAUCAUAUAUAUCAUUAACUCAUUAAACCUUUGUUGUUAUAUGCAAUAUUGUUAUUCAAUAGUAUACGUUAAUAGUUGGUUUAUUCGUUCCUAGAUAUGUAUUGCAUAAAUUGAUUACUAGACUGUUAGGGGUGCCCAGGCAGACGAGCCAAGGCUAAAUUAUAACCCCGGCAUAAAGCUAAUAAACACUGCUCAGGUGGGGAGCCCGGCGGAGUACAUCAUACCCUAGAUGAGCGCGAGGACAAAGCCCACCUGACAGAAAUGGGGGCUCUGGGAAACAAUAUGUAAAUGUCAACUUUGUGACCUCUGUGUCCUUGAUUUGACCGCUAGGGCCAGUAUAAAAUGCAGAUACAUAAUGGAUAUGUUUUGUAUAUUUUAAAGUGAUCAGUAAAUACAUUUAUGAUGUUAAAGCGGUCUGCUGUUGUGCAGCACUAAAUAGAUUAGACGAGCAUUCGGUGUAUUUUGCGUAAUGGGAUUGGUUCACAAUAUGGAUCGAGAAACUUAGAGUGUGUAGUUACUCUUUGAAACUAUUGUAACCUGUUCUUUUAUUUAUUGUCACCAACGCCUGAAUCCUCUGACUCUGAGCGGCAACGUGUGAGUGGAUCGAGUGCCUGUCGACGGGAUCGACCUGAAACUGUGUGUCUUGCUGGCUGGUGUACCGGAACCGUCCUGAAGUUAGAACCGUUUGUCUGCUCCAGUGGCCUUGGUUGUCUGUGGCUUCUAUCUCCUGCGGAGCCUGGAGUGAGGCGAUUUUCUUCCGACGCGGGAUACUGAGCAGAUAAGUCCUUGGCCCUGUUUUUGUCGAUGCGCCCUUGAUUUCAGUUAGCCCGUUGUAAUUAAGAAAUAAUAUAUAUAUUUUUUUCCUUUUUAUCUCUAUGAUCUAACUUUGGUUUUUGUUAGCGAUAGUUAGACUGUAAGUAUUAUUUAAUAGUCUGUGUGAUGGAGACGAGGUUGACUCUAACCGCCCAGUUCAUCAGUGACGGCCGUGCUCUCGGGUAUGAUGGUGAGAGGUUGGAGAGGUAUGUGGCAGAGCAGAAGGUUGAAUACGAGAGAGCCAAGAAGGAGGAGUUUGAACGAGAGACGGCUAGGCUUGAGCGAGAGGAGAGAUUGAAGAAAGAGGCGAAGGCAGAAGAGGAGAGAUUAAGGAAAGAGGCGCAGGCUGAGGAGAAAGCCAGACUUGAGCGUGAAGAGAGGUUGAGAAGAGAGGCGAAGGCGGAGGAAGAGAGGUUGAGAAAAGAGGCGAAGGCGGAGGAAGAGAGGUUGAGAAGAGAGGCGAAGGCAGAUGAGGCCGCCAGACAUGAACGAGAGGAGAGGGCCAGGCGUGAGGAACACGAGAGGUGGAAGGAGAGAGAUGCUAGAGAGGAGCUCAAGAGAAAAGAUGAACUGGAGUUGGCACGGCUUAAAGAGAAGUCGGCGCCAGAGGCAGGUGCAGUGGUAGGUCAGGCAGUUGAGGUGCGACAAAAGAGUGUCUUGGACAGGCUAGACAAGAACUUCCAAGGCAUGAAGGAAGAGGACGAUCUUCUGGCGUACCUGACGCACUUCGAGGCCGUAGCAGCAAGGUGUAAGAUUGAGAGUAAAGAGUGGGCCCUACUGUUGUCCUACAAACUGACGACAUCUCUCAAAAACUUUAUGUUGAGGGACAGUCUGUUCCUUAGCGACAAGUAUGAGGAUGUCAAAACGGCACUUCUCCGCCACGCAGACAUUAAUGCGGAGACAUGCCGCAAAAGGUUCCACCGGGUCAAACCACGGCAGAAUGACUUCCGUGGGUAUGUGACUGAGCGGAGGGCCGCGCUGGACAACUGGUGCAAAAUGGCCGAGGUAGGAAAGACGGUAGAUGAGAUCAAAGAUCUCUUGAUUAAAGACGGGAUACUUGAAAGUGUAUCAAGUGAAGUGUACAGGCAGCUUGUCUUAAACAAACAGAGUACGGUAGAGAACAUGCUGGAGGUAAUCGAAGGUUUUAAGGUAGCUGAUUCGAAUGUUUCAAUUAGUAAAGAAGAAACUGUGUAUGUGGCAGCAGCAUGUUGUGAGCCUGUGAUUAAGCAGAGUCCAGUGGUUAAAAGAAAGGUAAUUGUUUGUUUCAGGUGUGGCGAGCAAGGUCAUAAAUCAGCUGAGUGCUCUAAUGAAUUUGUUGCCCAAAAUAAUGAGACUGGUGUUGAGAAUGUAAAUCCCAAUGAUAUUGUAAAGGACCAAGACCAGCGAUCUAGACAUAGAUGACUAGAGGGUCGUCGCGAUUCGGAAGGUCGCCGUAGGUAUAAGUUAAUGCCGGAUCGUUAUACAGUUACUAUUAGGAAUUUGCCAUUCAAUGUUAACUGGCAAAAGCUUAAGGAUAGGUUUAGGGAGUUUGGUUUGUUUGGGUUUGUGGAGGUUUUAGAGGCAAACGGGAAGUCCAUGGGUGUUGGACAUGUAAGGUUUAAGAACUUAGCAGACGUUGCUAAGGCCGUUAGAUAUUUGGACAGGUCGAAAUUUGGUAGUAGAAGUAUUGUGGUAGUCCCUCAUCGCGUGAGCUCGAGAGGUUGACGUGAUGAUUAAGUUAGUAAUUUGGUCGCAUCGGUAAAUUUUGCGGGCGUGGUUUGAUAGGCUAGCACACACAUGAAAGUAUUGCGUUACUAGUUGGUUGAGUAAUUGGUAGUAGAGUAAAAUGUACAUGAUGAAGCUCAGGUAAUAGAGCAUAUACUAGCAUAAAAGUACAAUCUUAUCCUGUUUGAAUUUAGCAAUUGGAUCUGGGUUAUGAAUCUAGUUGCAUUUUCUGUCGUAUAGGAUGAAGAUCAUUAAUGACAUGCUUAAUUGUACCGCGGGUGGUAUAAUAGUAGCAUUAUCUUGUUCAACUGUUUUUCUUAAAGAUAUCUAAGUUAAAGGAAGGUUUAAGGCUUAAAGUGGUCUGGAGGGUUGUAAAAAUUAAUACCUGUAAUUAUUAAUCAUACCUAUUAAUCGCGUUGGCGGGUUUGUACAGUAGGUACGCCUGGGUACGCGGAGUUGUUUCCUUUUACCAAUUUACUAUGUCGGAGUUGGUCUGUUAAGGUGCACUGGAAACAUGAGUGCGCGGAGGCUUUGAGCAGGGUGCAGGCAUAUCUGUGUAGGUACCCCAUUCUUCGUUUGCCUGAUCCUUCAUUGCCAUUUUUUCUUCAGACCGAUGCUUCGGACAAAGGAAUCUCCGGUAUACUGAGUCAGUGCGUGAAAGGUGUUCUGCAUCCCGUCAAGUAUGUGAGUCGCAAGUUGUUGCCUCGGGAGCAGAGAUAUUCCAUCAUCGAGAGAGAAGGCUUGGCUAUUGUAUCUGCCAUUAGAAAACUGGACAGAUACCUUAGGGGAACGACGUUUCACCUUCAGACAGACCACAAGGCCUUGGCUUACCUCCGGAGCACGAACUUUACGAACCACCGUGUUACGAGGUGGGCGCUGAUGCUCCAGGACUACAAUUUCGACGUGUGUCACAUAAAAGGAGAGGACAAUAUACUUGCAGACUUGUGCUCAAGACUGGUGUGAUUCGCACAAAAAGACUAUUUUAUUAUAGCUAUUGCUUGAUAUGUAUGAAUAUGUAUGUAAUAUGUACUGCUUGUUUUUAUUAUGCAUUGUAAUGUUAUAAUAGUUUUAUGAUGGAUGUUGUUCUUUGCGACAUCAUCUAUGUGAAUAAUUAUGUAAUUUUGACUUUAUGAAGGUUGUAUUCUUCGGCGUCAAUGUUGGCAAUGUUUCCUAAUUCUUUUGCUGUCUCUAUACUUCAGUUUUCAAUUUUUUUUGAAGACUGGACUUGUUUUCGCAAGAUCCAGUUAGAGGGAGAGGGGGGAUGUCGUGCGCAUCUGGUAGGGUAUUUUCGUUUGAGCACCAUAAGGUCUUAUUAGUUCUGUUUCUAAGGAUGCGCUAUAUUGGUGUCAUUGUUCUCUUGUUGUGCCUUGAGAUGAGUCUCUUUAUGUUCUCUUUGUGUGCCUUGAGAUUGAGUUAUCUGUGUGGUGUUAUUCCCCAGUAUUGGGUAAGUUAGUUUAUUUUACUAUCUUCUACAUGUCGUAGCUUUACAAUCAUUUCUUUAAUAAUCGUGAGAAUGGCGGUAUCAAAGGAGUGUGUAUUUUUCUUAUUUAGGGACGCAGGCUUGGGACUCUGCUGGAGUCAAGUCUGAGUUGUAGGCUUGGUAGUUGACUAUUGCCCGUGGCGUUGGGUUGGCGUUGUGAGGCCGGAUUGACUAUGGCACUGAGAUUAAGGUGUGCUAUAGCCCGUUGAAUGUAAUCUGUAAUUGCCAUUGAUAUUUAUUCAUAAUGUAUGCCUCAUAAUAUCAUAUAUAUCAUUAACUCAUUAAACCUUUGUUGUUAUAUGCAAUAUUGUUAUUCAAUAGUAUACGUUAAUAGUUGGUUUAUUCGUUCCUAGAUAUGUAUUGCAUAAAUUGAUUACUAGACUGUUAGGGGUGCCCAGGCAGACGAGCCAAGGCUAAAUUAUAACCCCGGCAUAAAGCUAAUAAACACUGCUCAGGUGGGGAGCCCGGCGGAGUACAUCAUACCCUAGAUGAGCGCGAGGACAAAGCCCACCUGACAGAAAUGGGGGCUCUGGGAAACAAUAUGUAAAUGUCAACUUUGUGACCUCUGUGUCCUUGAUUUGACCGCUAGGGCCAGUAUAAAAUGCAGAUACAUAAUGGAUAUGUUUUGUAUAUUUUAAAGUGAUCAGUAAAUACAUUUAUGAUGUUAAAGCGGUCUGCUGUUGUGCAGCACUAAAUAGAUUAGACGAGCAUUCGGUGUAUUUUGCGUAAUGGGAUUGGUUCACAAUAUGGAUCGAGAAACUUAGAGUGUGUAGUUACUCUUUGAAACUAUUGUAACCUGUUCUUUUAUUUAUUGUCACCAACGCCUGAAUCCUCUGACUCUGAGCGGCAACGUGUGAGUGGAUCGAGUGCCUGUCGACGGGAUCGACCUGAAACUGUGUGUCUUGCUGGCUGGUGUACCGGAACCGUCCUGAAGUUAGAACCGUUUGUCUGCUCCAGUGGCCUUGGUUGUCUGUGGCUUCUAUCUCCUGCGGAGCCUGGAGUGAGGCGAUUUUCUUCCGACGCGGGAUACUGAGCAGAUAAGUCCUUGGCCCUGUUUUUGUCGAUGCGCCCUUGAUUUCAGUUAGCCCGUUGUAAUUAAGAAAUAAUAUAUAUAUUUUUUUCCUUUUUAUCUCUAUGAUCUAACUUUGGUUUUUGUUAGCGAUAGUUAGACUGUAAGUAUUAUUUAAUAGUCUGUGUGAUGGAGACGAGGUUGACUCUAACCGCCCAGUUCAUCAGUGACGGCCGUGCUCUCGGGUAUGAUGGUGAGAGGUUGGAGAGGUAUGUGGCAGAGCAGAAGGUUGAAUACGAGAGAGCCAAGAAGGAGGAGUUUGAACGAGAGACGGCUAGGCUUGAGCGAGAGGAGAGAUUGAAGAAAGAGGCGAAGGCAGAAGAGGAGAGAUUAAGGAAAGAGGCGCAGGCUGAGGAGAAAGCCAGACUUGAGCGUGAAGAGAGGUUGAGAAGAGAGGCGAAGGCGGAGGAAGAGAGGUUGAGAAGAGAGGCGAAGGCAGAUGAGGCCGCCAGACAUGAACGAGAGGAGAGGGCCAGGCGUGAGGAACACGAGAGGUGGAAGGAGAGAGAUGCUAGAGAGGAGCUCAAGAGAAAAGAUGAACUGGAGUUGGCACGGCUUAAAGAGAAGUCGGCGCCAGAGGCAGGUGCAGUGGUAGGUCAGGCAGUUGAGGUGCGACAAAAGAGUGUCUUGGACAGGCUAGACAAGAACUUCCAAGGCAUGAAGGAAGAGGACGAUCUUCUGGCGUACCUGACGCACUUCGAGGCCGUAGCAGCAAGGUGUAAGAUUGAGAGUAAAGAGUGGGCCCUACUGUUGUCCUACAAACUGACGACAUCUCUCAAAAACUUUAUGUUGAGGGACAGUCUGUUCCUUAGCGACAAGUAUGAGGAUGUCAAAACGGCACUUCUCCGCCACGCAGACAUUAAUGCGGAGACAUGCCGCAAAAGGUUCCACCGGGUCAAACCACGGCAGAAUGACUUCCGUGGGUAUGUGACUGAGCGGAGGGCCGCGCUGGACAACUGGUGCAAAAUGGCCGAGGUAGGAAAGACGGUAGAUGAGAUCAAAGAUCUCUUGAUUAAAGACGGGAUACUUGAAAGUGUAUCAAGUGAAGUGUACAGGCAGCUUGUCUUAAACAAACAGAGUACGGUAGAGAACAUGCUGGAGGUAAUCGAAGGUUUUAAGGUAGCUGAUUCGAAUGUUUCAAUUAGUAAAGAAGAAACUGUGUAUGUGGCAGCAGCAUGUUGUGAGCCUGUGAUUAAGCAGAGUCCAGUGGUUAAAAGAAAGGUAAUUGUUUGUUUCAGGUGUGGCGAGCAAGGUCAUAAAUCAGCUGAGUGCUCUAAUGAAUUUGUUGCCCAAAAUAAUGAGACUGGUGUUGAGAAUGUAAAUCCCAAUGAUAUUGUAAAGGACCAAGACCAGCGAUCUAGACAUAGAUGACUAGAGGGUCGUCGCGAUUCGGAAGGUCGCCGUAGGUAUAAGUUAAUGCCGGAUCGUUAUACAGUUACUAUUAGGAAUUUGCCAUUCAAUGUUAACUGGCAAAAGCUUAAGGAUAGGUUUAGGGAGUUUGGUUUGUUUGGGUUUGUGGAGGUUUUAGAGGCAAACGGGAAGUCCAUGGGUGUUGGACAUGUAAGGUUUAAGAACUUAGCAGACGUUGCUAAGGCCGUUAGAUAUUUGGACAGGUCGAAAUUUGGUAGUAGAAGUAUUGUGGUAGUCCCUCAUCGCGUGAGCUCGAGAGGUUGACGUGAUGAUUAAGUUAGUAAUUUGGUCGCAUCGGUAAAUUUUGCGGGCGUGGUUUGAUAGGCUAGCACACACAUGAAAGUAUUGCGUUACUAGUUGGUUGAGUAAUUGGUAGUAGAGUAAAAUGUACAUGAUGAAGCUCAGGUAAUAGAGCAUAUACUAGCAUAAAAGUACAAUCUUAUCCUGUUUGAAUUUAGCAAUUGGAUCUGGGUUAUGAAUCUAGUUGCAUUUUCUGUCGUAUAGGAUGAAGAUCAUUAAUGACAUGCUUAAUUGUACCGCGGGUGGUAUAAUAGUAGCAUUAUCUUGUUCAACUGUUUUUCUUAAAGAUAUCUAAGUUAAAGGAAGGUUUAAGGCUUAAAGUGGUCUGGAGGGUUGUAAAAAUUAAUACCUGUAAUUAUUAAUCAUACCUAUUAAUCGCGUUGGCGGGUUUGUACAGUAGGUACGCCUGGGUACGCGGAGUUGUUUCCUUUUACCAAUUUACUAUGUCGGAGUUGGUCUGUUAAGGUGCACUGGAAACAUGAGUGCGCGGAGGCUUUGAGCAGGGUGCAGGCAUAUCUGUGUAGGUACCCCAUUCUUCGUUUGCCUGAUCCUUCAUUGCCAUUUUUUCUUCAGACCGAUGCUUCGGACAAAGGAAUCUCCGGUAUACUGAGUCAGUGCGUGAAAGGUGUUCUGCAUCCCGUCAAGUAUGUGAGUCGCAAGUUGUUGCCUCGGGAGCAGAGAUAUUCCAUCAUCGAGAGAGAAGGCUUGGCUAUUGUAUCUGCCAUUAGAAAACUGGACAGAUACCUUAGGGGAACGACGUUUCACCUUCAGACAGACCACAAGGCCUUGGCUUACCUCCGGAGCACGAACUUUACGAACCACCGUGUUACGAGGUGGGCUCUGAUGCUCCAGGACUACAAUUUCGACGUGUGUCACAUAAAAGGAGAGGACAAUAUACUUGCAGACUUGUGCUCAAGACUGGUGUGAUUCGCACAAAAAGACUAUUUUAUUAUAGCUAUUGCUUGAUAUGUAUGAAUAUGUAUGUAAUAUGUACUGCUUGUUUUUAUUAUGCAUUGUAAUGUUAUAAUAGUUUUAUGAUGGAUGUUGUUCUUUGCGACAUCAUCUAUGUGAAUAAUUAUGUAAUUUUGACUUUAUGAAGGUUGUAUUCUUCGGCGUCAAUGUUGGCAAUGUUUCCUAAUUCUUUUGCUGUCUCUAUACUUCAGUUUUCAAUUUUUUUUGAAGACUGGACUUGUUUUCGCAAGAUCCAGUUAGAGGGAGAGGGGGGAUGUCGUGCGCAUCUGGUAGGGUAUUUUCGUUUGAGCACCAUAAGGUCUUAUUAGUUCUGUUUCUAAGGAUGCGCUAUAUUGGUGUCAUUGUUCUCUUGUUGUGCCUUGAGAUGAGUCUCUUUAUGUUCUCUUUGUGUGCCUUGAGAUUGAGUUAUCUGUGUGGUGUUAUUCCCCAGUAUUGGGUAAGUUAGUUUAUUUUACUAUCUUCUACAUGUCGUAGCUUUACAAUCAUUUCUUUAAUAAUCGUGAGAAUGGCGGUAUCAAAGGAGUGUGUAUUUUUCUUAUUUAGGGACGCAGGCUUGGGACUCUGCUGGAGUCAAGUCUGAGUUGUAGGCUUGGUAGUUGACUAUUGCCCGUGGCGUUGGGUUGGCGUUGUGAGGCCGGAUUGACUAUGGCACUGAGAUUAAGGUGUGCUAUAGCCCGUUGAAUGUAAUCUGUAAUUGCCAUUGAUAUUUAUUCAUAAUGUAUGCCUCAUAAUAUCAUAUAUAUCAUUAACUCAUUAAACCUUUGUUGUUAUA